CUACGCACUCCUACGGGAGGCAGCAGUGGGGAAUAUUGCACAAUGGGCGCAAGCCUGAUGCAGCCAUGCCGCGUGUAUGAAGAAGGCCUUCGGGUUGUAAAGUACUUUCAGCAGUGAGGAAGGUGGAUAUGUUAAUAGCAUAUUCAUUUGACGUUAGCUGCAGAAGAAGCACCGGCUAACUCCGUGCCAGCAGCCGCGGUAAUACGGAGGGUGCGAGCGUUAAUCGGAAUUACUGGGCGUAAAGCGCAUGCAGGUGGUUUGUUAAGUCAGAUGUGAAAGCCCGGGGCUCAACCUCGGAAUUGCAUUUAGAAACUGGACAAACUAGAGUACUGUAGAGGGGGUAGAAUUUCAGGUGUAGCGGUGAAAUGCGUAGAGAUCUGAAGGAAUACCGGUGGCGAAGGCGGCCCCCUGGACAGAUACUGACACUCAGAUGCGAAAGCGUGGGGAGCAAACAGGAUUAGAUACCCUGGUAG
rnacentral:rRNA from 1 species